UAGACGAAUGAUGGUAUCUGGUGGCAUAUGAGUCAUUUAGGAUGAAUAAUACAUGUCUGGAAGUCUGAGGUCUGA
ensembl:snoRNA